rnacentral:rRNA from 1 species
AUUGAACGCUGUCGGCAGGCUUAACACAUGCAAGUCGAGCGGAGAUGAGGUGCUUGCACCUUAUCUUAGCGGCGGACGGGUGAGUAAUGCUUAGGAAUCUGCCUAUUAGUGGGGGACAACAUUCCGAAAGGAAUGCUAAUACCGCAUACGUCCUACGGGAGAAAGCAGGGGAUCUUCGGACCUUGCGCUAAUAGAUGAGCCUAAGUCGGAUUAGCUAGUUGGUGGGGUAAAGGCCUACCAAGGCGACGAUCUGUCGCGGGUCUGAGAGGAUGAUCCGCCACACUGGGACUGAGACACGGCCCAGACUCCUACGGGAGGCAGCAGUGGAGAAUAUUGGACAAUGGGGGGAACCCUGAUCCAGCCAUGCCGCGUGUGUGAAGAAGUCCUUAUGGUUGUAAAGCACUUUAAGCGAGGAGGAGGCUACUGAGACUAAUACUCUUGGAUAGUGGACGUUACUCGCAGAAUAAGCACCGGCUAACUCUGUGCCAGCCGCCGCCGUAAUAC